AGCUCACUGUCGGUCAGUGAUUGCGUGUGAGAGUGAGUGUGUUCCUGCGCCUCUUGGCUCUUUGAGAUACCGCACAUCUGCGCACGGCAGGGUCUCGGGGAGUCCGGUGUGGCUCUGUCUUGAGAAAUACAAGUUUGGGGGUUGUGUGCUCUUUAGAGGGGUGCUUUCUUUUCUUUUUUUUUCCUUGAAUGGCUGAGUAGAUUGGUCUCAGAAUAACUUGACAGGAUUGAUUUUUGUAUGGAAAUCAUUUGGCACAGGCGCCAGAAGUUUUUCUAUGCAUUUUGUAGGCCUGGCUGGCCAGUGAAAUAAAGAUAAUCGGGUGCUGUGAGUGCAACGCAAAGACGCCUGGGUUCUCACUCUGAGCAGUUAGCGCUUGCAAGAGGCACGAGAGCACGCGGGUGAGGGGGCUCCCGAUAAUCUCCUAACAGAGUAGGUGAGGGGGCUCCUGAUAAUCUCCUAACAGAGUAGGUGAGGGGGCUCCCUGAUAAUCUCCUAACAGAGUAGGUGAGGGGGCUCCUGAUAAUCUCCUAACAGAGUAGGUGAGGGGGCUCCCUGAUAAUCUCCUAACAGAGUAGGUGAGCGGGGCUCCCUGAUAAUCUCCUAACAGAGUAGGUGAGGGGGCUCCUGAUAAUCUCCUAACAGAGUAGGUGAGGGGGCUCCCUGAUAAUCUCCUAACAGAGUAGGUGAGGGGGCUCCCGAUAAUCUCCUAACAGAGUAGGUGAGGGGGGCUCCCUGAUAAUCUCCUAACAGAGUAGGUGAGGGGGCUCCCUGAUAAUCUCCUAACAGAGUAGGUGAGGGGGCUCCUGAUAAUCUCCUAACAGAGUAGGUGAGGGGGCUCCCUGAUAAUCUCCUAACAGAGUAGGUGAGGGGGCUCCUGAUAAUCUCCUAACAGAGGGUAGCUGUGCCUUUCUCCUGCACGCUGGCUGUCAGCGUUACAUUGAGGUAUCACUUUUUUUGUUGGCAAAAUGAUUUCCUGUUGGUGGUGGUUGAGAGAGUCCUGCUUUACAUAAACAGGCCGCACGAGCUAAUGCAGGCUGACGUGGGUUUUCACAGCUGUGCGAGUCCCAUGGCGAUCCCGUUUCAUGUGGUCUGGGUGUUGGGUUUCUUGUGUUCUGAAGAGCUUGCCUCACUGGGGCGCGUUCGUCCUCCCAGCAGAAGCUCGGCGUCUGCUCCCUUGGCCACCUCCUCCCUCGCUCGGGAGACUGUCGUCCCCCAUUAUCUGCGGGCCCAGCAGCAGGGCUGCGAAAUGACAAACCCAAUUAUGUUUUCAUCUCUGUGCCUGUGAGGUUUUCUGACUGCGAACUUAGCAUCCUGCUUUUCACUGAGUCAGAUCCGGGGCCUCAGCAGGACUUGGGGGAAGGUCCCCGUUGACAGGCGUGCAGUGGGUUUUCCCCUCCAGAGGCUGUCUUGCAUUCUCUCCCAGGAGCAUCCUUGCUCAUGUCUUGGCUGAGGCACAGAGCCAGCAGAGAGGUUGGAGCCGUAGCAUAAACUGCUGCACAGUGAGGCUCUCGCGCGUGACCUGGUUGAGAGAAACCACAGUGGUGUGGAUCUUGGGCAGUCUGAGCAGGGGUGGAGCACAGCCCGCGCUGCUCUGCCCCCAAGUCCACCGUGGCAGUUUGCCCUCGCCUUGCGCACAGGCAGCUGAGCGGCUCUGUCUUUCAGGACUAAUACCAAAGCAUCCCCCAGCACAGGUGGGUGUUCCAGAAUUUUCUAAAUGGUGGUACCUGGAGAUUCGUAAGGGCCCCUUUGGAAGCUUAGAGGAAGGGCUUCAGGAAGCUCGUGAAAACCAGUGACAAGGGGACUGUGUGCCCCACCAGCUGGUGAAGCCCUCUUGGGCGAGGUUUUUCUCUCCAGUUGGGUUGAGAGCCAGCUAAGGGGCUUGGGGCCAUUGCCAGAAGGAACGGUGUGAUGUGGAAACCAGCGUUCGUCAAAGACUUCCUCAUGAUGCCUCGGCUCAGAGGGAGUGAUGCGCCUUUCACCUACACUGUCUGUUGGCUCUCAGGGUAUCUGGGGGUAGCUUUCUGCAGUGUUACAAUUUCAAACUCUAGAGCAGUUGCAAGAUGAACACAAGGAAGUGGGGUAGGGUCUCCACCCAGAGCCACCCUGGACUUGGGCCCGGGGGGUCUGGGCUUCCCUCCCUCCCUGCUCCCACUUCGUCCCUCCUCCACCUUGAAAUUUUGGGAGUUAACUGGAUUGUUGUGGUCCUUUACAACUGAAUACUUGGAUGUGAAUUUCUUAAGAACAAGGACCUUGUUUUACCUAAAGACCUUGCGAGCUCUAGUGUGGACUCCUUAGCCUGCGUCUGUUAACCUCAGCUGUUCUGUAGAAUUUCCCUCCAUUUGGAUCUGUCUGUUGCUGCCUUUUGAUGAGAUUCAGGGAUGCACUUCCGGCAGGAAUGCCAAGGCCAUGCUUCAUGGCUUCAUGUCUCUGGUGAUACGGUUUCUCUCCCUAGGUAUUUAUUUCGCCCUUCCCCCUAUUUGUCACUCCUGUCCCUGCCCUGGGAAACCUGACUCCUUGCUAAGUCUGGAUUCUACAGAAAGGAGUUACAAAGUCUCCGGCUCGUAUUACUACAGAAAAUGCAUGCAGUAAGGAGAGUUCAGAACUUGUGCAUUGUUCUUUUCUCCAGGCACUAUUUAUAAUGGGUGAAAUGCAUGAAUCUUAAGAAAGGAAUUCUGUAAGUUUCAGUGAAUGCAUCCCUCUCCAUGAGGCGCACUGCUGCGGUCUGUGGAAGCUACUGUCAUUCCCACACCGUUGCAGGGCAGGGAAAUCUGUUGAGUAUUUUUUUUUUUAAGAUUUAUUUUAUUUAUUUGAAAAGCAGAGUUAGGGGGCGGGGCAGAGUGGGUAGAAAGAGAGCUUUCCAUCUACUGGCUCACUCCCCAAAUGGCCAGGACUGGGCCGGGCCGAAGCCAGGAGAUUCAUCCACAUUUCACACAUGGAUAGAGGGGCCCAAUCCCUUUUCCAGGCCAUGAGCAGGGAGCUGGAUGGGAAGUGGAGCAUCCUGACAGGAUGCCAGCAUCACAGGCAGUGGCUUCACCUGUUGCCACAAGGCCGGCCCCAUCCGUUGAGCCAAGCGCCUGGGAUGUAUGAGCAGCUGCAGCCUUGUCUGGGGACCCAGGGGUUGUCCAGAAGCUGCCGUCUGGUCUGCGGGGCGGAAGCCAGGCGGGGCCUCGGGAGGCUGGUGUUGCAGUCGUGUGGCUCACCACUCCUGUGAGACUGCCACAGCGGCCUGCUACCAAGAUGCAGGCUGCAGACGCGGAUCGCACACCGCCGGGGCCUGCCCACUGCACACAUGGAGUGUGUGUGCCCAGAAACCCAAUCUUGAGAUCCCCGUGAUGAGCAGCCUGAUGAUAGACUCGUUCUGGAGUUGGGUACGCGAUAAGAUCACGUGUGCACCCACUGUGACUUUGUUUUCAAAAUGUCUGUGUGUGCAUCGGGACGCGUGCAUCCUGCGGAGUGGCAGGGAGAGGGUGGCUCGGAACACUCGGCGUCAGCUGGGCCCUCACGCAGUGAACUGCGCUUCCUUCUUGCCUCUGUCAGGCCCCCCUAUUCAUCCUGGGCAGUGUGUAAUGCCAUCUUCCACCACACUGCGGUGUGAGGAAACAUGACACCAAAAAGAAGCCUACUGUUUAAGCUGUACCUUAGAAAAAUCUCUAUCCUGGUGUGCCGUUGUGUCUGCGACGCCAGCUUCACAUAGGGCUCUGGUUCGAAUCCUGGCUGCUCCACUUCUGAUCCAGCUUCCUGCUAAUGUUCCUGGGAAGGCAUUGGAAGAGGGCACAAGUGCUUGGGCCACUGCCACCUAUGUGGAGACAGAAUGGAGUUCCAGGCUCUUGGGCCUGGCCCAGCCCUUGCUGUUGGCAGCCAUUUGGGGAAUGAACCAGCAAAUAGAAGAUAUCUCUCUCUCUCUAGCUGUCAUAUCUCUUUCAAAUAAAUAAAUAAAUAAGUCUUAAAAGCACUAUACCAAAGCCAUCUAUCACCUAAAAGUUCUACACAUGUACCAUCUUGGGGACAGAAGGGCAGAUUUGGAAGGAAGUGUGUGUGUAUGUGAGAGAGAGAGAGAGAGAGAGAGAGAGAGAGAGAGAGAAAGCAGGCAUUUGUUGACUCCUGUUUGAGUCCCUGCUGGGUGCCUGAGGUACAAGAUGAUUGACAUGCCACCGUAUUCAGGGAGUGCGGGGUGGAGGGUGAGACGGGGCUAGAAACCAGAGGUGCUCUCUGCGACGUGGUGCUGUUCUCUACAGCCAGGGGGCACACUCUCCUGACAGCAUCCUUGUUGUAGCAAUUAAUUUUUGUAAACUUGGCAAAGCCUUGCAGAGAAUGACCUGAGCUGAUGUCCAAGGACAAGCAGGAAUUGCUAGAAACAAAUGCUAGGGGGAGCAAGAGGCGUUCCCAGUGGGGAGGGCUGCAAGUGCCCCGGCCAGAGGCAGGGAAACGGGGCACACCUAGGCAGCCGUCCAGUAUGGCAGCUGCAACCGAGCCUGGGGCACCCCGCUCCCUAGAAGUUGGCCUCUUGUCACUGUGAGCACUGUUGUGAUUUCAGCUUUCCUUUGAGUUGGAAUGCAGAGUGCUUUGUCUAACACAAAGCUGCUGUUUUGAAUUUUACAGUUCCAUAUAAAACUGUUUCUCACCUAGCACCAAGCUCGGGGUUUCCCAGCCUCGGCAUCCACAGCUGCUGCUGCCUUGUGGAGCUGGAAGACAGGGGAUUUCCAGGCUGCUGGCUGUGUCCCUCGCGGGCCACUGAGUGACCGCCAGCAAGGUGUCCCCCACCCCCUCCACGCCUCCGUCUCUUGUUGGGUGAGUCAGCUGCAAGAGAUAAGCUCUGGCUCCCUGUUGACACUUGAAGUUACUAGCUUUUAUAUUUUAGAUUUAUUUUAUUCUUUGUUUCCCAAGUAAUGUAUUUUAAUCACUAAAAAUUCAGAAAUAUACUUGAGGAGAAGGAAGACAGUGAGCCCUGGGGGUCCUUCCCAUCUGACUUUCUCAGAGCCUGUUUGCACGUUGUUGUGCGUGCAUCAUUUCUUUUUUCCAAACAUUCUUCCCCUGAAAUUCGCUUCAGAUAGAAGGAUCUGUGGUACUGCGUCAAGGCUACUCCCCACGUCUUGGAUUUGAUAGGUUUUAAAUCAGCCAUUUACAAGGACUGGCCAGGGCCCAAUCGGAAGAGCGCUGCGGAGCCCAUGCCAGGAAUUUCUGUGUGCAGCUUCUUAGUGGCAACCGUUACUCAAAGUGGGGCCACAGCCAGCUUUCUCUUCUCCUUUCCAAAGGGGACAUUAAUCUUUGAUUUGGAAAAUGAUGAGUAACCCCUAGGUUCUCUUUCCCUAUCUCAUUUACCCAGUGAGGCCUCAAGUCGUCUCUGUGAACCAGUGAUGGAUUCCAUAUGUACGGCUGUGUGGUGUAAACCGUAUCCCACAUCUUGUCCAUAGCAACUAGUGUUUCUCCAGUCUCCAGAAUGGUCUGGUUCCCGAAAGGACAUGGACUGUGCAGCCAGAGCCCCUGCGCCGUGCCGAGCUGCAGGCCCUGACCCCAGAGCUCCCGGCUCUUCUCCCCCUCAAAAAACCUCAGACGUUGGUCCCUUUGCUUCGGUUUCCUCAUCCAUAGAGCAGGGAAAAUAUUUUCUGUUUCCUAGGAAAACUGCAAUGGCUGCCGGGUAUCCAGUUCCUUGUGGCCAAGUACACGGCCUUUGCCCACUCCUGGGACUGGUGUUGACACCAGAAAUGAGGGAACAAAGGGCCCCAUGAUUGCGCUAAGUCUCCUGGGCAUGUGGUCCUUUGCUGGGCUCGCACUUGGUCCCUGAUCUGGUACAAGGAGAGGAGUUGCAUUGGGGGCCUAAGGGUCAAGGCUGCCCUGGCUGUGAAAGGCUGUAGAAACCUCGCACUCACAUCUCCUGGUGCUGCUGCUGUCUUGUACCUUGAGACCAGCUCCUAGAAGGUUGGAGUUGGUGCUGCCUGCUUUGUCUGUCUUUACCAUGGUCACAAAGAAGUGUCCAGCCUGCAUAGACACCUUUUUUUUGUUUUGUUUUGUUUUCUGAGAUUGAUUUUAUUUGGAAGGCAGAGUGGCAGAAACAGAGUUUUCAUCCAUUGGUUAAUUCUCCAGAUGGCAGCAAUAAUUGGGCCUGGGCCAGGAUCAAGUUAGGAAUCAGGAACUGUUUCCCAAGUGCGUACAGGGGGUCCAAGUACUUGGGCCAUCCUCCACUGCUUUCUGAGGCGCAUUAGCAGGGAGCUGGAUUGAAACUGGAGCAGCCGGGACUUUAACUGGUGCUUUGACGUGGGAUCCAGUGACACAGGCAGCGGCUUAACUACUGCAUCACAGUGCUGGCCCUAAGUACUUUUUUUCCUAUAGGAUCCCUUUUACUGUACAGACCAAAAAGUUUGGGGCUGUCACCUUUCCUUCAGCGGUUCCUCGGGCUGCCUUGCCCACCUGCAGGUGGACUCUGGGUUACUGAGAAUUAAGGUUCUUUACAGUUGGGAAUGAGUCUCAUUCCCUUUCCCACUCACCUGCUCCCACGGGCACAUCCCUUGGUUCUUAAGUUUUUUGAAGACUGUUCAGAUUGGUGAAAGCAGCCACCCCAGCUCCCCCUGCAAAAUGCAAGACCACGCCCAGUUUGGCAGACAAUUUCAGUGCCUUUGCAAAGUCCUUUAAACUUCCUGGGUGCUGUUCCCAGCUUCUCCUGGGUGAGACCUGGGAGAGGAGGGUGGCAGCUCACACUGCUGCGGUGCUCUGAUGGCCUUGGGGGGCCCCAGGCCUCUUUGGAGCCUUGCUGUCCUGAAUGCAGUCGAGGGAGAUGGGGUCGGAUGAUGGCUGGGUCUGUUCUCGGGUUCUGAGGCCGUGUGGUCCCAUGAGCAGCUCUGUCGUUUGCUUGAGCCCGCUGCAGCCAGAUGCCUUCCCUGCUUGCUGCUCUGGGGCUUGUUCCCCUCCGCUGGUUGGGAGCCUGCACUUGGCUCCAGGCGGGCAGAGAGCCCUGGCUUCAUUGUUCCUGCUCCUCCUUUCCUUUUUUAUUGAUGGAGGACGUUUGUCUUCCUCCUCUGUCUACACCGGGUAUCCUCGUAAGGGAGAGGUGGAGAGGAUCAGGGAGCCGUCAACUUGAACUGGGAAAGCUUUUAUGACUUCAGAAAGUUUGUGGGAAAAUGGAGUUGAAAGACUGUGUGUUCUGUGAACUUCAGGAAGAGCCCUCGCAUGUGCUGUGCACACACAGCUGUGUGCAGUGCCUGUAACUCUGCACGCGGAAUGUUUAGAAACACCCAAUCAUGACUCUUGUCGUAGAGCUCAGUAAUUCCAUGACGUCUCUUUGGCGGACAGGGGGUGAACGAGACACAGGUGAAGUUUCUGAGACUGUCUUCUGACAAGGCGGUAAUGGCUGUGGGUUAUGGUGCAGCAGGUGAAGCUGCCACUUGCUGUGUCCACAUCCCAUGUGAGCGCCGAGUGGAGCCCCAGCUGCACCACUUCGGAUCCAGCUCCCUGCUCAUGCACGUGGGAAAGCAGCAGAAGAUGGUCCCAGUAUUUGGGCCCUUGCCGCUUAGGUAGGAGACCUAGAUGGGGUUCCAGGCUUCUGGCUUCAGCCUGUCCUAGUCCUGGCCUUCAGCGGGCAUUUGGGGAGUAAACCAGCAAGUGGAAGAUCGAUGUCCGCCUGUCUGUCUCUCUUUUUGUACUGCCUUUCAAAUAAGUACAUACAUCUUCUUAAAGGACAUAAUGUUACAGACAUCGGCUUCAUCUUUCCCCCAAGAACUGUACCAAGUUUGGAAAGGGUGAUUGUGUUCUCACGAACAGUAGGAACUGUGGUGACAGUUGGCAUAUGAAUCAAUGAAGAGUAUGAUGGGAGAGUGAGAGGGCGGCCUGUGCCCUGCUCCAGGAGCUCGGCUCUGGCGGCUUAGGAACCCCCAAGGUGGACUGGGCUCUGCAGGGUAGGAACCCCCGGAGGCAGAACGCCCUUUCCUGUCAGUGAGCAAGCACCAUUUGUUAUUAAGCCCGAAACCGUGGAUGUGAAGUGUUCUGACCACUUGCUCAGCGGGUAUUUUCCAGUUUUGCGUACCUCGUUGAUUUCGUUCCUGCUUCUGAUGAUGGUUGCUGUGCUGAGCCAUCGCUGCAGGAGUGUGUGAAAACGGGAAGCCUGUGCGGUUGGGAAAGGUGACUUUUCAGUGUGCAAGGAGUCCACUUCGUAGCGUCAACUCUUGGAAGGGCUCUGCUUGUUUUCUUAGGGAUUUUUAACUGUCUCCAUUUUAUUUUAUUUUUUUUUUAUUUUUAUUUUUUUUAACAGGCAGAGUGGACAGUGAGAGAGAGAGAGAGAAAGGUCUUCCUUUGCCAUUGGUUCACCCUCCAAUGGCCGCCGCGGCCGGUGCGCUGUGGCCGGCGCACCGCGCUGAUCCGAUGGCAGGAGCCAGGAGCCAGGUGCUUUUCCUGGUCUCCCAUGGGGUGCAGGGCCCAAGCACCUGGGCCAUCCUCCACUGUACUCCCUGGCCACAGCAGAGAGCUGGCCUGGAAGAGGGGCAACCGGGACAGAAUCCGGCGCCCCAACCAGGACUAGAACCCAGUGUGCCGGCGCCGCUAGGCAGAGGAUUAGCCUAGUGGGCCGCGGCGCUGGCCUCCAUUUUAUUUUUUCUAAAGAGCCUUCUAAUAUCCCUCCGAGGUAUUUCUGUUUUGUUUUUUAUUUGAUUUGAAAAGCAGGGAGACAGAUCUUCCAUCUGUUGAUUCACUCCCCCCAGUGCCUACAACAGCCAGGACUAGGCAAGGCCAAAUCCAGGAGCUGAGAACUCAGUUUGCAUCUCCCCUGCCAGUGGCAGGAACCCAGGUACUUGAGCUGUUACCUGCUGCUCUCAGGUUGCACAUGAGUGCGUCGCACAGAGGGAAGCAACAGGGUGCGCUGUUCUCAUAGCAGAGGGCACGACCCCGAGAGAUGAGCGGUGUUGCUGGGCAGGUGGUCGGAGUCUGGGUCUUUUCCUUCCUUUCUCUCUUUUCCUUCCAUCCUGGGGUUUUCAUUUGGAGUUUAAUUAUUAACCAAAACUAAACUUCAUGUUUGUGUUCCCUGGGGGCUUGUGGGUAGGGCUGGCAAGUCCUCUUCUUUCCUGGAGGCCAUGAUGUCUGGGGCUGUGUCGAUGAACGUGGCCAGCUCCAGGUCUCCCAUGCUGGGGGAGCUGCCUGGACUCCUGGGAGUGGCUUGUUGUCUUGGUUCCCUCUGAACCCUUAGAGGCAGGGGCGGUGUAGGGUUCAGUACAGUGGUCUGCAUCCCUGCCCCUCCCGCUUGUUGGCAGCCCCCUCCCCAAGCCUGCACGGUCCUGCUGUUCCUCACUGCAGCCAUCAGUGGGCUGGAGGCCAGUGCUUGUGUGGGCAAAGGACAGUGAGCUACCUGGGCUGAGUCUUCCGUGUGCUUGGGGUCCUUUCAAGUUCUUUGUGAAGUGGCCAGCAAGAGAGCUUCCCAGUCCAUCACGUGGAGAGAACAAAGGGCUCAGAGAAGUCACAUCAAAGGCCUGGGUUUCCGACUUGCAGCUCACUUACCUGCCAUGUAGACAGUGCUAUGUUCAGUGUUCAAUUCACACUCCCAGAAUCCCGUUGUACUCACUUGUGGAGGCAGCUUUGAGGACUGAUGGCUAAGCUCCUCCCUCCUGCGGGGGAUUCUGGUGCUCCGAGGUGCUCCGUGCUCAGCAGCGUGGAAGCCGCACAAGCGCAGGGUUUACAAGCCUCUCCUCGACAAGCCCUGUGUGACGUAGCUCGCUCACUUUCCCAUUCCGGUUAGUUCUCAGCUUAAAUGGUUUUUGAAAACAUUGGGAGGUAGGGACCCACAGCUACCGAGAGUCCAAGACAGUCCUGUUUUGAAAAUGCAGAUUCCUCUGGCCUGCGUUUACUUGAGGAAUAGGGUGGUUGCCUCCCAUUCGUUCCUUUGAUUACAGAUACUGUUUAAAUGACAUCAUAUUGAGUAGAAUACAGAGUCCAGGUGGCUUGGGAGAAAUCAUUUUUAAAAAGGAAAAAAACAAAGCAAAAACCCUUGGGUAUCUUUGCAUUCUAGGGGCCAAGAAGCAGAAAGAUGGUAUUUCUGGCAGGCUCCCAGGCCCAGCUAAGCCCACACCCCAAGGCCGUCUCUGUAGCUUCCUGUGGUUUUCCUGCUGAAGAGAAACAGCCUUUCUCUUGGAGGCUCCAGGAUGGCAAGCUUGUGCAUCAGCUUGAUGAGAAUCGUAUCCCUGCCUGAGCUUCCGUCCCACAGGCUUCUUUAUGAAAUGGGAGGCACCACAGUGGCUGCAAACUGAACUGAGCCUGUUCUGCUGCUCCCAGCAGUACAGGUUGUUUCUGUAAAAAUCAAUCGUUUCCAAUAUUUAUUAGUGGUUAUGCCACCAGGUGUUCUGUUCACCGUAAAGUCGCAGACCAAGUGUUGUUCUCCGUGUGAACCUGUUAGCACGCAGGCACAGGACGUCGCUGUGUGCCUCAGGCUUGUAGGCUAGGAAAGGCCCCAGCCUUCCUCCUUGUCCUGGGUAACCCCUCAUAGGCAUCAAAGGCUCCACAGAGACAGAUGCAGAAGUGUUAGUUGGGCCAGGUGAUAGAAUCCUGCAAGUACCCAGGCCCAGAGUACUGCUGCGGGCGGUGGCUUUGUGUGCUGCACCACAGGGCUGGCCCCUGCAGAAAUCUUUAAAGAUAACGCAGCAGUAGGCAUCUCUUUAUUUGCCCUGGGAUAUUGUGAUUGACUUGAAAUGUCACGUGACCACAGUGAGUUAGCCAGAGCCGUGAAUGAACGGUUCACCUGUAGGGUGGACGAGGGAGGGAAGAGGAUGAUAGUGUUUGUUAGUUUUGUAGGAUUUUUCAUGCUGCUUCUGAGUCCUUCAUCUGAUCUUUUUAAAAAAAAAAAUAUUUAUGUAUUUGAAAGGCAGAGUUACAGAGAGGUAGAGACAGAGACAGAGGUCUUCUGUCGGCUGGUUCACUCUCCUGAUGGCCACAACAGUUGGAGCUGGGCUGAUCUAAAGCCAGGAGCCAGGAUCUUCUUCCAGGUGUAUGGGCCUAAGGACUUGGGCCAUCUUCCACUUUUUUCCCAGGCCAUGUCAGAGAGUUGGAUCAGAAGAGGAGCAGCCGGGACUCGAACCGGCGCCCAUAUGAGGUGCCAGCACUGCAGGUGGCUUUAUCCGCUACGCCACAGCGCUGGCCCCCUUCUGAUCUUCUGAUAGGUGUGAAGAUACUGUUCUCCCCCGCCAAGUCUUUGUCAAGGACUGUGGAGUGCAUGACUGCAGAAACCGUUACUUGAGCCGUCAACCUUCCUAGUUGGCUCUACGUUGUAAGGAUGAGUUUCUUGCAAGAAGGGACAUCGCCGUUCUUCAGAGCUGCUGUCACACAGUACCCUUAGAACAGUUCUGACAAAGUGGGAAGAUGCACCAAGAUCUAGUGCUUGGCCCAGUGCUGUAGGAUUUCUGCCUUAGCUCUAGUGGCGUGCCAACCUCUGCUACUGAAGUCACCUAAAGAAACUGGAUAGUCUUUUUUUUCUUUUUGUAUUUAUUUAGAAGUCAGAAUAACA